rnacentral:rRNA from 1 species
UCGAUGAAGAACGCAGCGAAAUGCGAUAAGUAAUGUGAAUUGCAGAAUUCAGUGAAUCAUCGAAUCUUUGAACGCACAUUGCGCCCCUUGGUAUUCCGGGGGGCAUGCCUGUUCGAGCGUCAUUUCAACCCUCAAGCUCUGCUUGGUAUUGGGCCCUGCUGGCAACGGUAGGCCUUAAAAAUAGUGGCGGUGCCUUUAGGUCCUGAGCGUAGUACAUUUCUCGCUAUAGGUCCCUGAAGGUUACUGGCCAGCAACCCCAAUUUUUCUAUGGUUGACCUCGGAUCAGGUAGGGAUACCCGCUGAACUUAA